GGGGAGUACGGUCGCAAGACCGAAACUCAAAGGAAUUGACGG
rnacentral:rRNA from 2 species